rnacentral:rRNA from 1 species
UACGGGGGGGGCAAGCGUUGUUCGGAAUUACUGGGCGUAAAGGGCUCGUAGGCGGCCAACUAAGUCGGAUGUGAAAUCUCCGGGCUUAACCCGGAAAGGUCAAUCGAUACUGCGGGGCUAGAGUGCAGAAGGGGCAACUGGAAUUCUCGGUGUAGCGGUGAAAUGCGUAGAUAUCGAGAGGAACACCUGCGGCGAAGGCGGGUUGCUGGGCUGACACUGACGCUGAGGCGCGAAAGCGUGGGGAGCAAACAGG